GACGAACGCUGGCGGCGUGCUUAACACAUGCAAGUCGAACGGAAAGGCCCUGCUUUUGUGGGGUGCUCGAGUGGCGAACGGGUGAGUAACACGUGAGUAACCUGCCCUUGACUUUGGGAUAACUUCAGGAAACUGGGGCUAAUACCGGAUAGGAGCUCCUGCUGCAUGGUGGGGGUUGGAAAGUUUCGGCGGUUGGGGAUGGACUCGCGGCUUAUCAGCUUGUUGGUGGGGUAGUGGCUUACCAAGGCUUUGACGGGUAGCCGGCCUGAGAGGGUGACCGGCCACAUUGGGACUGAGAUACGGCCCAGACUCCUACGGGAGGCAGCAGUGGGGAAUAUUGCACAAUGGGCGGAAGCCUGAGGCAGCAACGCCGCGUGCGGGAUGACGGCCUUAGGGUUGUAAACCGCUUUCGCCUGUGACGAAGCGUGAGUGACGGUAAUGGGUAAAGAAGCACCGGCUAACUACGUG
rnacentral:rRNA from 1 species